UGGGGAAUAUUGGACAAUGGGCGCAAGCCUGAUCCAGCCAUGCCGCGUGAGUGAUGAAGGCCCUAGGGUUGUAAAGCUCUUUCACCGGUGAAGAUAAUGACGGUAACCGGAGAAGAAGCCCCGGCUAACUUCGUGCCAGCAGCCGCGGUAAUACGAAGGGGGCUAGCGUUGUUCGAAUUUGCUGGGCGUAAAGCGCACGUAGGCGGACUUUUAAGUCAGGGGUGAAAUCCCGGGGCUCAACCCCGGAACUGCCUUUGAUACUGGAAGUCUUGAGUAUGGUAGAGGUGAGUGGAAUUCCGAGUGUAGAGGUGAAAUUCGUAGAUAUUCGGAGGAACACCAGUGGCGAAGGCGGCUCACUGGACCAUUACUGACGCUGAGGUGCGAAAGCGUGGGGAGCAAACAGG
rnacentral:rRNA from 1 species